UGGGGAAUAUUGCACAAUGGGCGCAAGCCUGAUGCAGCCAUGCCGCGUGUAUGAAGAAGGCCUUCGGGUUGUAAAGUACUUUCAGCGGGGAGGAAGGUGUUGAGGCUAAUAACCUCAGCAAUUGACGUUACCCGCAGAAGAAGCACCGGCUAACUCCGUGCCAGCAGCCGCGGUAAUACGGAGGGUGCAAGCGUUAAUCGGAAUUACUGGGCGUAAAGCGCACGCAGGCGGUCUGUCAAGUCGGAUGUGAAAUCCCCGGGCUCAACCUGGGAACUGCAUUCGAAACUGGCAGGCUAGAGUCUUGUAGAGGGGGGUAGAAUUCCAGGUGUAGCGGUGAAAUGCGUAGAGAUCUGGAGGAAUACCAGUGGCGAAGGCGACCACCUGGACUAAUACUGACACUGAGGUGCGAAAGCGUGGGGAGCAAACA
rnacentral:rRNA from 1 species